CCUACGGGAGACAGCAGUCGAGAAUCAUUCACAAUGGGGGAAACCCUGAUGGUGCGACGCCGCGUGGGGGAAUGAAGGUCUUCGGAUUGUAAACCCCUGUCAUGUGGGAGCAAAUUAAAAAGAUAGUACCACAAGAGGAAGAGACGGCUAACUCUGUGCCAGCAGCCGCGGUAAUACAGAGGUCUCAAGCGUUGUUCGGAAUCACUGGGCGUAAGGCGUGCGUAGGCUGUUUCGUAAGUCGGGUGUGAAAGGCGCGGGCUCAACCCGCGGACGGCACCUGAUACUGCGAGACUAGAGUAAUGGAGGGGGAACCGGAAUUCUCGGUGUAGCAGUGAAAUGCGUAGAUAUCGAGAGGAACACUCGUGGCGAAGGCGGGUUCCUGGACAUUAACUGACGCUGAGGCACGAAGGCCAGGGGAGCGAAAGGGAUUAGAUACCCUAGUAGUC
rnacentral:rRNA from 1 species